rnacentral:rRNA from 1 species
ACGAACGCUGGCGGCGUGCUUAACACAUGCAAGUCGAACGGAAAGGCCCUGCUUGCAGGGUACUCGAGUGGCGAACGGGUGAGUAACACGUGGGUGAUCUGCCCUGCACUUCGGGAUAAGCUUGGGAAACUGGGUCUAAUACCGGAUAGGAACCAUCUUUAGUGUGGUGGUUGGAAAGUUUUUUCGGUGUAGGAUGAGCUCGCGGCCUAUCAGCUUGUUGGUGGGGUAAUGGCCUACCAAGGCGGCGACGGGUAGCCGGCCUGAGAGGGUGUACGGCCACAUUGGGACUGAGAUACGGCCCAGACUCCUACGGGAGGCAGCAGUGGGGAAUAUUGCACAAUGGGCGCAAGCCGGAUGCAGCGACGCCGCGUGGGGGAUGAAGGCCUUCGGGUUGUAAACUCCUUUCGCUAGGGACGAAGCUUUGUUGUGACGGUACCUAGAUAAGAAGCACCGGCUAACUACGUG